rnacentral:rRNA from 1 species
AUUGAACGCUGGCGGCAGGCCUAACACAUGCAAGUCGAGCGAGAAAGCCCUUCGGGGUGAGUAGAGCGGCGGACGGGUGAGUAACGCGUAGGAAUCUACCCAGUGGUGGGGGACAACUCGAGGAAACUCGAGCUAAUACCGCAUACGCCCUUCGGGGGAAAGCGGGGGACCUUCGGGCCUCGCGCCAUUGGAUGAGCCUGCGUUGGAUUAGCUAGUUGGUGAGGUAAAGGCUCACCAAGGCGACGAUCCAUAGCUGGUCUGAGAGGAUGAUCAGCCACACUGGGACUGAGACACGGCCCAGACUCCUACGGGAGGCAGCAGUGGGGAAUAUUGGACAAUGGGCGCAAGCCUGAUCCAGCCAUGCCGCGUGUGUGAAGAAGGCCUUAGGGUUGUAAAGCACUUUCAAUUGGGAGGAAAAGCUUGUCCUUAAUACGGGCAAGCCCUGACGUUACCUUUAGAAGAAGCACCGGCUAACUCCGUG